UACGUAGGGAGCAAGCGUUGUUCGGAUUUACUGGGCGUAAAGGGCGCGUAGGCGGCGCGGUAAGUCACUUGUGAAAUCUCUGAGCUUAACUCAGAACGGCCAAGUGAUACUGCAGUGCUAGAGUGCAGAAAGGGCAAUCGGAAUUCUUGGUGUAGCGGUGAAAUGCGUAGAUAUCUGGAGGAACACCGGUGGCGAAGGCGGCAUCCUGGACCAAUAUUGACGCUGAGGAGCGAAAGCCAGGGGAGCAAACGGG
rnacentral:rRNA from 1 species